GCUCUGCGGGUGCUGAGGCUGCUCUGGGCUCUGCCAGGGCUCUGCUGGGCUCAGCCCUGAGCCCAGCUGGGCUGGCUCUGCCCUCACAUUGCUCUGACAGCUCUGCAUCAGAUGAGCCCAUUGCGAGCACAGCACCUGAGCUUUCUGCUUUGGCAGCAGUGCCACGAGUGGGCCAAAGCUGGCGAGUGGGCCGUGCUCCUGAGGCAGUGCAGUCUGGAGCUGAUGGAUGGAGAACUGCCCUUCUGCACUUCCAAACCAGAGGAAAAAGCUAAAACAUGUCCUACAAAAGGAAUGUCUUUUGCUCCUGGUUCCCGUGUGGAGCAGCUCCCUUCCUGCUGGCUGAGCUGCUCAGGCAGAGCCCGGCAGCCCUUGGCCCGGCAGGGCUGAGGCUUUUCCCCAUUGCUGGGCACAGACUGAUGGAGCAGCACUGCUGAACACGGGCACACAGAGGGACCAGCAGCAGCUGCCUUUGGCCACCUGAGGCUCCAAGGCCCAAACUCUGAGCAGCCAGGGCUGGAAGAGACUGGCAGGAUCUGAUCCCUGACUCUGGGCCAGGGCUGCACAAAUGACCCCACAGCAGCAGCAGCAGCAGCAGCAGCAGCACAUGGAGCUGACUUGGAGCACAGCCCCUGCCCCUCUUCCCUCCCGUGUGCAGCGGUGUCACAGCAGCCUGAGGCACCUGGGAGCCCCCAGUGUGGGGGGAGAUGGCAGCCCUGGGCUCCUGGAGGCUGUGGAAGGAACGGAGCUGGGCACUCCCUGUCCAUGGGGAGCUUCCAGAUGGAAAAGGCUGCUGUGCCCAGGCAGCUGCAAGGGCACAGAAAGGAGGCUCUGGAGCACUGGAUCUGUGCC